AUCUGGCUGGCUCAAUCAGUAGAGCACAAGACUCUUGAUCUUGGGGUUGUGAGAUUGAGUCCCACGUUAGGCA
rnacentral:tRNA from 1 species